CGGCAGCACGGGAGCAAUCCUGGUGGCGGAGUGGGCGAACGGGUGAGUAAUAUAUCGGAACGUGCCCAGUCGUGGGGGAUAACGUAGCGAAAGCUACGCUAAUACCGCAUACGAUCUAUGGAUGAAANCGGGGGAUCGCAAGACCUCGCGCGAUUGGAGCGGCCGAUAUCAGAUUAGGUAGUUGGUGAGGUAAAGGCUCACCAAGCCGACGAUCUGUAGCUGGUCUGAGAGGACGACCAGCCACACUGGGACUGAGACACGGCCCAGACUCCUACGGGAGGCAGCAGUGGGGAAUUUUGGACAAUGGGCGCAAGCCUGAUCCAGCAAUGCCGCGUGCAGGAUGAAGGCCUUCGGGUUGUAAACUGCUUUUGUACGGAACGAAACGGUGAGCUCUAAUACAGUUUGCUAAUGACGGUACCGUAAGAAUAAGCACCGGCUAACUACGUG
rnacentral:rRNA from 1 species